GCCGCUGUAGCUCAGGGGUAGAGCAGUUCAUUCGUAAUGAUCAGGUCGUCGGUUCAAAUCCGACCAGCGGCUCCA
rnacentral:tRNA from 1 species